rnacentral:lncRNA from 1 species
AAGAUGAACAGCAAAGUCGGCUUCAGUGGAAUUUGAACUUAAAAGUUUUCUGUCCGUGAAUGAAUUUGAGAGAAAAAAGCAAAAUAAAUGAAAAAUAAACUAAAAUAAGUAAAAAUGCAAAA